rnacentral:rRNA from 1 species
GACGAACUCUGGCGGCGUGCUUAACACAUGCAAGUCGAACGGUAAGGCUCCAGCUUGCUGGGGUACACGAGUGGCGAACGGGUGAGUAACACGUGGGUGACCUGCCCUGCACUUCGGGAUAAGCCUGGGAAACUGGGUCUAAUACCGGAUAGGACCGCACCGUGAGGGUGUGGUGGAAAGUUUUUUCGGUGUGGGAUGGGCCCGCGGCCUAUCAGCUUGUUGGUGGGGUAAUGGCCUACCAAGGCGGCGACGGGUAGCCGGCCUGAGAGGGUGGACGGCCACAUUGGGACUGAGACACGGCCCAGACUCCUACGGGAGGCAGCAGUGGGGAAUAUUGCACAAUGGGCGGAAGCCUGAUGCAGCGACGCCGCGUGGGGGAUGACGGCCUUCGGGUUGUAAACUCCUUUCACCAUCGACGAAGGGUUUCUGACGGUAGAUGGAGAAGAAGCACCGGCUAACUACGUGCCAGCAGCCGCGGUAAUACGUAGGGUGCGAGCGUUGUCCGGAAUUACUGGGCGUAAAGAGCUCGUAGGUGGUUCGUCGCGUCGUCUGUGAAAUUCCGGGGCUUAACUCCGGGCGUGCAGGCGAUACGGGCAUAACUUGAGUACUGUAGGGGAGACUGGAAUUCCUGGUGUAGCGGUGAAAUGCGCAGAUAUCAGGAGGAACACCGGUGGCGAAGGCGGGUCUCUGGGCAGUAACUGACGCUGAGGAGCGAAAGCAUGGGGAGCGAACAGGAUUAGAUACCCUGGUAGUCCAUGCCGUAAACGGUGGGCGCUAGGUGUGGGUUUCCUUCCACGGGAUCCGUGCCGUAGCUAACGCAUUAAGCGCCCCGCCUGGGGAGUACGGCCGCAAGGCUAAAACUCAAAGGAAUUGACGGGGGCCCGCACAAGCGGCGGAGCAUGUGGAUUAAUUCGAUGCAACGCGAAGAACCUUACCUGGGCUUGACAUAUACAGGAUCGCGCCAGAGAUGGUGUUUCCCUUGUGGCUUGUAUACAGGUGGUGCAUGGUUGUCGUCAGCUCGUGUCGUGAGAUGUUGGGUUAAGUCCCGCAACGAGCGCAACCCUUGUCUUAUGUUGCCAGCACGUUGUGGUGGGGACUCGUAAGAAACUGCCGGGGUUAACUCGGAGGAAGGUGGGGAUGACGUCAAAUCAUCAUGCCCCUUAUGUCCAGGGCUUCACACAUGCUACAAUGGUCGGUACAGUGGGUUGCCAGUCCGUGAGGGCGAGCUAAUCCCGCAAAGCCGGUCUCAGUUCGGAUCGGGGUCUGCAACUCGACCCCGUGAAGUCGGAGUCGCUAGUAAUCGCAGAUCAGCAACGCUGCGGUGAAUACGUUCCCGGGCCU